AUAGUAACGUGGGGAAGGAUCAUUACCGAGAGUUGUAGGCUUUGCUUGCUAUCUCUUACCCAUGUCUUUUAAGUACUUUCGUUUCCUGGGUGGGUUCGCCCGCGGAUUGGCCAAUUUAAUCCAUUUGCAGUAGCAAUCAGAGUAAGAAAAAAAUUAAUAGUUACAACUUUCAACAAUGGAUCUGUUGGUUCUGGCAUGGAUGAAGAACGCAGCGAAAUGCGAUAAGUAGUGUGAAUUGCAGAAUUCAGUGAAUCAUUGAAUCUUUGAACGCACAUUGCGCCCCUAGGUAUUCCAUGGGGCAUGCCUGUUCGAGCGUCAUUUGUACCUUCAAGCUUUGCUUGGUGUUGGGUGUUUGUCUCGCCUCUGCGUGUAGACCCGCCUCAAAACAAUCGGCAGCCGGCGUAUUGAUUUAGGAGCGCAGUACAUCUCGCGCUUUGCACUCAUAAGGACGACGUCCAAAAGCACAUUUUACACUCUGACCUCGGAUCAGGUAGGAACCCCGGUUCCA
rnacentral:rRNA from 1 species